rnacentral:lncRNA from 1 species
UGGAAAUUGACAUGGAGCAAAAAGUCACAACUCUAGCCAGCUCAACUCCAAUGCGACCUAAAACAAAUCAAUUGUGGAGCUUUAGAUGGAGGGUGUUGGAUGAAAGCGAGAGUUCUUGUCAAGUCUUCUUCGUCUUCACAAACCCUCAAUUAUAUGUUAUUGACAUGUCAUGUCAUUAAACCCAAAUUCUAAAUUGUAGAAAUAUGGAAUGUAAC